rnacentral:rRNA from 1 species
AUGGGCCGAAAGAACCGCAACCCCGCUCCAAACCCUACUCCUCCCCGGGCCGCCGCCGCCGGCGGCAUUGCCGCCGUGCGCGCCGACUGUGACAAGGCCCUCGCGUACCUCCAGCGCGGAAACCCGUCCAAGGCGCUGCGGCUGCUGAGGGACGCCGUCGCGCGCCACGGCGAGGGGUCGCCGCUCCUCCUCCGCGCGCAGGGCACCGUGCACUCCCGCGCUGCCGCCCCCCUCAACGACCCCGCCGCCCGCGCGCGCCACCACCGAGCCGCGCUCCAGGCCGCCCGCCGCGCCGUGGAGCUCGCGCCGGACUCCCUCGAGCUCGCCCACUUCCACGCCCUGCUCCUCUACGAGGCCGCCUCCGGUAACCGCGACUACGAGGACGUCAUCGCCGAGUGCGAGCGCGGUCUCCGCAUCGAGGUGCCCUCCGACCCGGCACCCCACUGCCUCAGGCUGCCCGCCCCUGGACCUGACCAGCUCCGAGACGACCUCCGCAACCUCAUCCAGAAGGCCAAUCUCGCCUCAAUAUCCACCUGGGUCAAGGCCCUCGGCGGCACUGAUGACAAGCUUGGGUUUUUCCGCCUGGCUGAUGAACCCUUGGAGCUCCAGCCCCUACCUGCAGCGCACCGCCCCAUCGGGAUCAAGAAGGCCACCAAGACCCCUGAGGAGCGCCGCAAGGAGAUCGAGGUGCAGGUCGCUGCGAUGAGGCUGGUGGAGCAGCACCAGCUGCCGCACAAUCCUGCUGUCGCUGCAUCCUCACCACCGCUGUCAGAGGAAGAUGAGGCCCCCUGCUCAUCAUGUCAGUCUGGUGUGAAACUGCGGCGUUCUUGA